GACCCCGUGAACCUUUACUAUAGCUUGACACUGAACAUUGAGCCUUGAUGUGUAGGAUAGGUGGGAGGCUUUGAAGCGUGGACGCCAGUCUGCGUGGAGCCGACCUUGAAAUACCACCCUUUAAUGUUUGAUGUUCUAACGUGGACCCGUAAUCCGGGUUGCGGACAGUGUCUGGUGGGUAGUUUGACUGGGGCGGUCUCCUCCUAAAGAGUAACGGAGGAGCACGAAGGUUGGCUAAUCCUGGUCGGACAUCAGGAGGUUAGUGCAAUGGCAUAAGCCAGCUUGACUGCGAGCGUGACGGCGCGAGCAGGUGCGAAAGCAGGUCAUAGUGAUCCGGUGGUUCUGAAUGGAAGGGCCAUCGCUCAACGGAUAAAAGGUACUCCGGGGAUAACAGGCUGAUACCGCCCAAGAGUUCAUAUCGACGGCGGUGUUUGGCACCUCGAUGUCGGCUCAUCACAUCCUGGGGCUGAAGUAGGUCCCAAGGGUAUGGCUGUUCGCCAUUUAAAGUGGUACGCGAGCUGGGUUUAGAACGUCGUGAGACAGUUCGGUCCCUAUCUGCCGUGGGCGCUGGAGAACUGAGGGGGGCUGCUCCUAGUACGAGAGGACCGGAGUGGACGCAUCACUGGUGUUCGGGUUGUCAUGCCAAUGGCACUGCCCGGUAGCUAAAUGCGGAAGAGAUAAGUGCUGAAAGCAUCUAAGCACGAAACUUGCCCCGAGAUGAGUUCUCCCUGAGACUUUAGGUCUCCUGAAGGAACGUUGAAGACGACGACGUUGAUAGGCCGGGUGUGUAAGCGCAGCGAUGCGUUGAGCUAACCGGUACUAAUGAACCGUGAGGCUUAACCUUACAACGCCGAAG
rnacentral:rRNA from 1 species